GGGUGUGUACCCCCCUCCCCCUCCAGGGUUCUUCAUCCCAGGAUUUCCCAAACUGCACCGCUUCCAGGCUCACCAUGAGCUCAUCCUCUCCAAACUGCUGCCCAGGCUGAAGAAACACCUGGAUAAGGAGCAGAUGACCACAGGGCUUUACACCACCAAGUGGUUCCUGCAGUGCUUCAUAGACAGAAGCCCGUUCACGCUCACGCUGCGUUUAUGGGACAUCUACAUGUUAGAGGGAGAGAAGAUGCUGACCGCCAUGGCGUACACCACCCUGAAGCUGCACAGAAGUGAGACUGCUUUCGUCUGCUCCGGCUGAAGCCGGAGGUCUUACAUAACCAGGGCUGUUGCUGAGGAGAAGAAUCACAGGACGACUUUUCAUUGGACGUCCUGCUAGCAUCCUCUCUGCUCAUUGGCUGAUUUAUCAGAGCUGUUGUUUCCUUUUAUUUCAGUCUUAGAAUGUUUUCAUCAGCUGAUCCCAGAAACUUCAGGCUCAACCAGAACCAGGAUCUUAAGUUCAACCAGCACCAGAACCUCUGUGUCCAACCAGAACCAGAACAAUUAUGCUCAACCAAAACUUUAAGAUUAAUCAGAACCAGAUAAUUUAUGUUAAACCUCAACCAGAACCUUUAGGUUCAACCAGUAUCAGAACCUCUAAGUUCAACCAGAACCUUUAUGUUCAACCAGUACCAGAACCAG